rnacentral:lncRNA from 1 species
GAAAUCAGGUUAGACAAAUGGGCUAGGGUUUAGGUGCGGCUUAGGGUUAGGAAAUCCACCAAAAACUAGGGUUUUCUAGAACAUUAGGUGCGGCAUGGGCUUAGGGUAAGUAAUCAGAUUUUUUUCAUGUGAACAAGGCCUAGGUGCGGCUGAUUAAGUGGGCUAGGGUUAGGGUUUAGGUGCGGCAUAGGUCCAAGAGGCAAAGAUGGGUCAUCCAAAAGCCCAAAGCCGAGAAUAGAAACUCUCGAAAUUGGAAACCUCCAAGAAUAGAAACUUCUAACUUUAGAAACUUUGGUUGCCAAUUCCGAUUUAGGAAAGAUCAACCCAAAAUGGAAACUUUUAGGCUUAGCUUUCCUACUUCAAGUAGGAAACCUCAAAUCUCGAACUCUUCAAUUUCAUCCCAACCUUGUGUUCCAAGCAUGUCCUUUUCAUUCCAAGCUCACUUUUUGCUCCAAAAGCUCCAAAUUGCA